rnacentral:rRNA from 1 species
UACGUAGGGUGCAAGCGUUGUCCGGAAUUAUUGGGCGUAAAGAGCUCGUAGGCGGUUUGUCGCGUCUGCUGUGAAAACUCGGGGCUUAACCCCGGGCCUGCAGUCGAUACGGGCUAGCUAGAGUGUGGUAGGGGAGAUCGGAAUUCCUGGUGUAGCGGUGAAAUGCGCAGAUAUCAGGAGGAACACCGGUGGCGAAGGCGGAUCUCUGGGCCAUUACUGACGCUGAGGAGCGAAAGCGUGGGGAGCAAACGGG